GAUGAAGAACGUAGCGAAAUGCGAUAAGUAAUGUGAAUUGCAGAUUUCAGUGAAUCAUCGAAUCUUUGAACGCACAUUGCGCCCGCCAGUAUUCUGGCGGGCAUGCCUGUCUGAGCGUCAUUUCAACCCUCAUGCCCCUAGGGCGUGGUGUUGGGGAUCGGCCAAAGCCCGCGAGGGACGGCCGGCCCCUAAAUCUAGUGGCGGACCCGUCGUGGCCUCCUCUGCGAAGUAGUGAUAUUCCGCAUCGGAGAGCGACGAGCCCCUGCCGUUAAACCCCCAACUUUCCAAGGUUGACCUCAGAUCAGGUAGGAAUACCCGCUGAACUUAAGCAUAUCAAUAAGCGGAGGA
rnacentral:misc_RNA from 1 species